GCGGAUAUGGUGGAAUUGGCAGACGCGCUGGACUUAGAAUCCAGUGGGGUAACCCGUGCAGGUUCAAGUCCUGUUAUCCGCA
rnacentral:tRNA from 1 species